AUAGCUCCCCCUGGAGGAGACGCCCGACAGAGCAGCGCGUCCUUCUCUACCGCCACGUGACAGCGGGCGCCAACCGACAAGGCUAAGUCGUGGGGCAACGGCGGGGCCCCUCGGGGCCCUCGGAGAGCAGCGCCCGCCCCCGCCCCUGCCCCCCUCGGAGAGGAGCUGGAGUGGCGGCCCCAUCCCUGGCCCGCCCUUCCCGCCCCCGCGCGGAUUGGCCGGGCAGCCGGCGGUUGGGAUUCUCGGCCAAUGGGGCCCCGAGGGGCGGGGCCUCGGGAGAGCCGCGCCUUCCCGCCACACGGUCACGUGACGCCCGCCAACGGCCGAGGAGGCCGACGCCCCGCCGGGGGCUUCGCCGCCUCGGGUCCGAGGGGAAGGAUGGUUUUCCCCCCAACUCCCAAGGACGAAGGCCGACGGCGCCGGAUCCCCGGAGCUGCCCCGAGGCGGAAGAGAGAGCUGUCUCUCCGGGUCCCUGGCCGCCCCCUCUCCGGCCCCCCCCGGGCCCGGCCCCGGCCCCGGCCUCAUGGUUUGCAAAAUAAAGCUGGGGGUCUCUGAAGGGGCAGUGCGCCGCAGGACCAUCCCGUAGAGUCGGGGCUUGGGGGACCCAGCGGCGGGGGGCGGGCGGCGAGACAAGGGCCCCCACUGCCCCUCCUGACCUGGCAUCCCUUGACUCCCACCCGGCCUUUCCUCUGCUCCUGCUGCCACCGCUGCUCCCACAGCCCCAGCCGAAGGUGAAGGUGACCCCCUCCGCAACCAUGAGUGCAGAGGAGAGUGAGAUCUUCACCGAAGGCCCCGUCGUCAGGAUGAAGGAGCUCACAUUCUUCCCCGUCUGCAUCGAAUUUUUGAAACCAACCAAAUUGUUGUCUAGGGACACUGAACAAUUAAAGAUGGCAGAGCUGAGUUUCACGACCAGCAGGAAACACUUCGAUGCGAUAGUCAUUGGAAGUGAAUUCGAAUCAGGAGACAGCACCUUCCGGGUGCAGUUGCGGCUUGGUUUAUGGGACGCUCAGGGACCUCAACCAGACUGUCAUCCUCAGCAGUUGAUCAUCAUCGACAACGGGCAGUUAUGUCUUCCACCUGUGGAGGCCAGUGGUAAACAUUACAGCCGUCCUGUGGAUAGCACCCAAUGGUAUCAUGCUCCUUUGGUCACUGAGUGA
rnacentral:lncRNA from 1 species